UACGUAGGGGGCUAGCGUUGUCCGGAAUCAUUGGGCGUAAAGCGCGUGUAGGCGGCCCGGUAAGUCCGCUGUGAAAGUCGGGGGCUCAACCCUCGGAUGCCGGUGGAUACUGUCGGGCUCGAGUACGGAAGAGGCGAGUGGAAUUCCUGGUGUAGUGGUGAAAUGCGCAGAUAUCAGGAGGAACACCAAUUGCGAAGGCAGCUCGCUGGGACGUUACUGACGCUGAGACGCGAAAGCGUGGGGAGCGAACAGG
rnacentral:rRNA from 1 species